UGCGGCCGGCCCCGCGCGCAUC
rnacentral:miRNA from 1 species